GUUUAUUUAACUUAAAAAAAGUGUAUAUUUUGAAAAUAUAAAAUAGGAAAGCCUAAUAAACU
rnacentral:tRNA from 1 species